CCUACGGGUUGCAGCAGUGGGGAAUAUUGCACAAUGGGCGCAAGCCUGAUGCAGCCAUGCCGCGUGUAUGAAGAAGGCCUUCGGGUUGUAAAGUACUUUCAGUCGGGAGGAAGGUGGUGAGCUUAAUACGCUCAUCAAUUGACGUUACCGACAGAAGAAGCACCGGCUAACUCCGUGCCAGCAGCCGCGGUAAUACGGAGGGUGCAAGCGUUAAUCGGAAUUACUGGGCGUAAAGCGCACGCAGGCGGUUGAUUGAGUCAGAUGUGAAAUCCCCGGGCUUAACCCGGGAAUUGCAUCUGAUACUGGUCAGCUAGAGUCUUGUAGAGGGGGGUAGAAUUCCAUGUGUAGCGGUGAAAUGCGUAGAGAUGUGGAGGAAUACCGGUGGCGAAGGCGGCCCCCUGGACAAAGACUGACGCUCAGGUGCGAAAGCGUGGGGAGCAAACAGGAUUAGAUACCCCUGUAGUC
rnacentral:rRNA from 1 species